rnacentral:rRNA from 1 species
UCCUGCCAGUAGUCAUAUGCUUGUCUCAAAGAUUAAGCCAUGCAAGUGUAAGUAUAAUUGUUUUACGGUGAAACUGCGAAUGGCUCAUUAAAUCAGUUAUAGUUUAUUUGAUGCUAUAGGCCGCAAGGCCACUACAUGGAUAUCUGUAGUAACAUAGAGCUAAUACAUGCAAUAUAGUCUGACUUUUUGGAAGGACUAGCACUUAUUAGAUAUUAAACCAGUCCUAGCAAUAGGUUUUUGGUGAUUCAUAGUAACUGAACAAAUCACAUGGUCUCGUACCGGUGAUGUUUCAUUCAAAUUUCUGCCCUAUCAACUAGAUGGUAGUAUAUAGGACUACCAUGGUUGUAACGGGUAACGGAGGAUUAGGGUUUGAUUCCGGAGAAGGAGCAUGAGAACGGCUACUAUUUCUAAGGAAAGCAGCAGGCGCGCAAAUUAUUCAAUGGAAACAAUUUUCCGAAAUAGUGACAAAAAAUAUACAAUGCUGGGUAUUAUAUACUUAGUAAUUGG